rnacentral:tRNA from 1 species
GCGGACUUGGCCGAGUGGUCAGCCACCGGCCUUCCAAGCCGCCUACGCCGGUUCGAAUCAGGUAGUCCGCUCCA